UGGGGAAUAUUGCGCAAUGGAGGAAACUCUGACGCAGCAACACCGCGUGUGCGAUGAAGGCCUUCGGGUCGUAAAGCACUUUUUGGAAGGAAUAGGAAGGAAUGUACUUCCAGAAUAAGUCUCGGCUAACUACGUGCCAGCAGCCGCGGUAACACGUAGGAGGCAAACGUUAUCCGGAUUUACUGGGCGUAAAGCGCGUGUAGGUGGUACUGUAAGUAGGGCGUGAAAGCUCCUGGCUCAACUGGGAGAGGCCGUUCUAAACUACAGAACUAGAGGAUGGUAGAGGGAGGUGGAAUUCCAGGUGUAGCGGUGGAAUGCGCAGAUAUCUGGAGGAACACCGGUGGCGAAGGCGGCCUCCUGGACCAUUCCUGACACUCAGACGCGAAAGCUAGGGUAGCAAACAGG
rnacentral:rRNA from 2 species